rnacentral:rRNA from 1 species
GACGAACGCUGGCGGCGUGCUUAACACAUGCAAGUCGAGCGGUAAGGCCCUUUCGGGGGUACACGAGCGGCGAACGGGUGAGUAACACGUGGGUGACCUGCCCUCAGCUCUGGGAUAAGCCUGGGAAACCGGGUCUAAUACCGGAUAUGACCUCAUGACGCAUGUUGUGGGGUGGAAAGCCUUGUGCGGCUGAGGAUGGGCCCGCGGCCUAUCAGCUUGUUGGUGGGGUGAUGGCCUACCAAGGCGACGACGGGUAGCCGGCCUGAGAGGGCGACCGGCCGACACUGGGACGUGAGACACGGCCCAGACUCCUACGGGAGGGCAGCAGUGGGGAAGUCUUGCGCAAUGGGCGAAAGACCUGACGCAGCGACGCCGCGUGAGGGAUGACGGCCUGG